rnacentral:piRNA from 1 species
UUGGUUUUGACAAUGGUGUUCGGAACAGGU